UACGUAGGGCGCAAGCGUUGUCCGGAAUUAUUGGGCGUAAAGAGCUCGUAGGCGGUUUGUUACGUCCGCUGUGAAAACCCAGGGCUUAACCCUGGGCUUGCAGUGGAUACGGGCAGACCAGAGGUAGGUAGGGGAGAAUGGAAUUCCCGGUGUAGCGGUGAAAUGCGCAGAUAUCGGGAGGAACACCGGUGGCGAAGGCGGUUCUCUGGGCCUUACCUGACGCUGAGGAGCGAAAGCGUGGGGAGCGAACAGG
rnacentral:rRNA from 1 species